UACGUAGGGCGCAAGCGUUGUCCGGAAUUAUUGGGCGUAAAGAGCUCGUAGGCGGUUUGUCGCGUCUGCUGUGAAAACCUAAGGCUCAACCUUGGGCUUGCAGUGGGUACGGGCAGACUAGAGUGCGGUAGGGGUGACUGGAAUUCCUGGUGUAGCGGUGGAAUGCGCAGAUAUCAGGAGGAACACCGAUGGCGAAGGCAGGUCACUGGGCCGCAACUGACGCUCAUGCACGAAAGCGUGGGGAGCAAACAGG
rnacentral:rRNA from 1 species